UGGGACGACAGCUGGGAAGUGCCUGACAUAUUCUCAAGAAGCUGCAGAUUCCAGACAUCUCUGGGCCCCUCUCUGGACUGGGAUGGAGGACCCAGAGGUGGAGAAGAACACACAAGCAGCACUUGAGGGCUCCAAGGGUGGCGAGGAGAGAAGGUUCUGCUCUGGUACAGCUAGCCCUGGGACCCUGAAUGACUGAAGCUAAGAAGUGCUGGAGACAGCAGUAGCUUUAGCCACAGGCUGUGUAGACCACCUGAGGAUGAUCUGGGAGUCUGUUUUGUGCACCUUGGAACCCAUCGGAUCCCUCCAAUGACACAUUUGUCCAGAGCAAGACAAGAUCACACUUUGACAGCCCUCUGUCAAGAUCCUUGCUCCAUAUCUCCAGACUAGCAGCCAGGCGUCUCCAUGCUGUUCUGAAGAAGCAGAUUCCUCAGCUACCCUUCAACUCCUUCCCAGGAGAUAAUCCUCCUCCAAAUCUCUGGAAAAGAUACACCUCCUCUUCUCUGAUAAAGGCUGGGGGGUGAUGCCCCUCCCCCAGGUUCCCAAUAAAGCUGUGCAAGACAGGGGCAAGGGAACUCACGGCCCGUUUUUGCUACAAAAACCCUUUUUCGGAAAAAAUAAUAAAGAAAGGAAUCAGCCAAUCCCUCCUCGAUGCCA